GGCCUCCCUGGGGACCCAGGCCGGCUUGGCCCGGCCACUUAGUGUCCCCGCUGACCCCCUGCCCACCCCGGGCCCCCAGCCUGCUGCGAUGGAGGCCGCCGCCCAGUUCUUCUUCAAGAGCCCGGACGUGGUCUACGGCCCGAGGCUAUCGAGGUGCAAUACGAAUACCGGAAGACGCGCGUCAGCUGCGAGGGCAGCGUCCUCAAGGUGCACCCCACGACCACACGCUUCACCUUCCGGACCGUCCGGCAGGUGCCCAGGCUCGGGGUCAUGCUUGUCGGCUGGGGCAGGAACAACGGCUCCACGCUCACAGCCGCGGUGCUGGCCAAACUACUGCGUCUGUCCUGGCCCAUGCGCAGCGGCCACAAGGAGGCCAACUACUAGGGCUCAGUGACUCAGGCAGGCACCGUGAGCCUGGGCUUGGACGCCGAGGGCCAGGAGGUGUUCGUGCCCUUUAGUGCGCUGCUGCCCAUGGUGGCUCCCAACGACCUCGUGUUUGAUGGCUGGGACAUCUCAUCGCUGAACCUCGCCGAGGCGAUGCGCGAAGGUGCUGGAUUGGGAGCUGCAGGAGCAACUGUGGCUGCACAUGGAAGCCCUGUGGCCUCGGCCUUCCGUCUACAUCCCCAAGUUCAUCGCCACCAACCAGAGCACGCACGCAGACAACCUCAUCCCGGGCUCGUGCGCCAGCAGCUGGAGCAGAUCCGCAAGGACAUCCGACACUUCCGGUCUAUCGCGGGGCUUGACAAAGUCAUCGUGCUGUUGACGGCCAACACAGAGGGCCUUCUGUGAGGUGGUUCCAGGCCUCAACGACACGGCUGAGAACCUGCUGCGCACCAUUGAGCUUGGCCUGGAGGUAUCUCCCUCUACGCUCUUCGCCGUUGCCAGCAUCCUGGAGGGCUGUGCCUUCCUCACUGGGUCCCUGCAGAAUACCCACCCUGGUGCCCGGAGCUCUUGAGCUCGCGUGUCAGCGCCUGUUUUCGUGGGUAGAGAUGACUUUAAGUCUGGCCAGACUAAAGUCGAGUCCGUGCUUGUGGACUUCCUCAUCAGCUCUGCCCUCAAGACCAUGUCCAUCGUGAGUUACAACCACCUGGGCAACAACUGGCAGAACCUGUCGGCGCCGUUGCAGUUCCGCUCUAAAGAGGUGUCCAAGAGCAACGUGGUGGACGACAUGGUGCAGAGUAACCCAGUGCUCUAUACGCCCGGCGAGGAGCCCGACCACUGAGUGGUCAUCAAGUACAUGCCGUACGUGGGCGACAGCAAGCGCGCGCUGGAUGAGUAUACUUCGGAGCUAAUGCUGAGUGGGACCAACACGCUGGUGCUGCACAAAACGUGCGAGGACUCCCUGCCGGCCACACCCAUUCUAGACCCGGCGCUGCUGACCGAGCUGUGCCAGCGCGUGAGCUUCUGCACUGACGCGGACCCUGAGCCGCAGACCUUCCACCCCAUUCUGUCGCUGCUCAGCUUACUCUUCAAGGCGCUGCUGGUGCCGCCGGGCAGCCCGGUGAUCAAUGCGCUUUUCCUCCAGUGCAGCUGCAUCGAGAACAUCCUCAGGGCCUGCAUGGGACUCCCGCCACAGAACCACAUGCUCCUGGAGCAUAAGUUGGAGCACCCAGGGCCCAGCCUCAAGCAAGUCGGACCCCUGGCCGCCUGCCCUGUGUGGAACAAGAAAGGACCGGUACCCAUUUCCACCAACGGCUGCACCGGUGAUGCCAAUGGGCACCCACAAGUGGAGGAACCCCAGAUGCCCACCACCUGAGGCCCCUGUCACACCGCUUCCCAGCCCUUCCUCCCUGCUGCCCCCCCCAGAACCCCAACUUUCCAGGUCGCCCCAAAGACAAGAAAGCCACUGCCACUCUCAGCUGUCCUUCCACCUGGGGUUCUUGGGGCCUGUGACCUGGCUCUGCCUCCCUCUACUUCCCCAACUCUGAGCGCCCAGCUUCCCGUCCCAAUCCUUCUGCCCAUGGUUGCCACCCCAACUCCCAGGGAGAGCCCAGAAUCCGGAGCUUCAGUCUACCCCCGGUUCUUGAAGGUGGGGCUAGAUAGGUGGGGUGGGAAACAAGACCGCAGGGUGGACAGUGUGGUGGCCGAAGACCAAAGAGGGAAUCUGAGACACGCUACCAAAAACCAAAACUAGGUUCUAUUUAUUGAUGGGGCCCACCCCCUGACGUCCUGGGGAGAGGGGCCCCCAAAGAGCCCUUCUUUGUGGAACAAAAUACAAAUGGCAGGACGGGUCCAUACAGAAAAAAAAAAAAAAUUCUUCAUUCAAAUUGGGACAUUUUUCUUUGAAAGGAGUGUUAUCGAAAUUAUGCCGGGACUAAUGGGACUGACUUGGACAAAGCAGUAUAUUGCUUUUGGUAUGCGCUAUUAUAGUUUGAUCACGUUCCUGUUUCAUGGAUGACUUUAUUACUAUGAGAGUGAUCACUUUUAAAAAGCAGCAUUUCAUACAUAUUGCAUCCAGUUUUUUAUUUACAUAUCCCUUUGACUGUGAAC